ACCUUAUCAAUUUGUGAUGCGAGUACAUCGAUCCACAACAAAAAUACAUAGAAAAAAAGAAAUAGGCAGCAAACUACGAACUUUUCAGCUAGCUAGCAGGCAAAUGCAAGUACCAAAUACUCAUCCCAUGUACCAAAUAGACGUGAACAAGAAAAAUGCAAGUACCAGCUAGGUACAUCAUGUACUCAUCACAUGUACUCAUCCCAAAUAGUAGCACAUACAUCAAAUUCACACCAGAAAUCCCAAAAGGGACGAGGAGGACGCGUGGCCUGGCGAGGGAGAGCACGAAGUGGUGGCCGAGCACCGGGAGUAGCAGCGGUCGCGGCGUCCCGACACGCGGAGCAGCAGCUCGCAGCAUGGGGAGCAGAAGCUCGCGGACCAGCACCUCGCGGCACAUAGAGCAGCAUUACGCGGAGCAGCAGCUCGGCAGGAGCCCGUCCCGUGCCGGAUGGGGACGGGAUGGAGGAGGAGGAGGCGGGGCCGCAAGCGCCGCAGCAACGGAGUCGGUCUUCCCUGCCAUGGCACUUGGGCUCUUGCUGGACGAAGAAAGAAGAAGGGGAGAAAAGAGAAUAGAGAACAGAGAGAGACGAGAGAGGAACGGGAGAGGAAGAACGUGGGUGCCAAGGAUUAGCCAAAAGUACAUAGAGAUUAAGAAGUGAAAGUGAACACGUGGAUGUAGAUAGGUGGGUUGGUACCGGGAGGUUUGGCGUUUAGUGGAGUACCUGUGCCUAAGCAAAAGUGGAGUAAGAAAAACCAGAGAAAAAUGAGUAUUUUAGAUCUUGAGAGAGGAUUUUUUUUCUUUGCCUCUCUUGAUGAUGGACAGCUCCGGCGCGGCGGCUGCUGCUACGGCGGCGGGACGGACGCGCGCGCGGUGGUGCUACUGCCGUUGCUUCCGGCGGUGGGGCCGCUGCUUCUGCUGCUGCUACUGCUGCAACUCCUUCCCCACCCAGGACGACCUCCGACGCGACGCGACGCCGCCGCCUGGCCCCCGCCUCUCCCUGUAGCUAGGGUGGUCUCCAGGUUCACUUUUCGUUUACACAUAUGCGAACCAUGAGGAGAACUGUAUCAGGUUUUGUUGCUAUAGUUCACAAAGAAGUGCAAAAGACGUGAAACUUCAUUAGUUGUUUGGCUGGUUGCUAGACAAAUAUAUACUCCCUCGGUCCCUCAAAAAAGUGACGUGGAUUUGUAUUCCGGACGGAGGAGUACUUAUGUUGCAGCUAGACUAGUAGGCUGUUUGGAUUGGAAGUAAUCUAGUUUAGUUAGAAGUCCAUGACUAAAAUUUUACUACCAUGUGCAAUAACAGGGACCAAUUGUGCUUAUAUCUAUAUCAGUUUGCUAAACCAGAGGUGAAUGCUUCUUGGAACAUACAUUGAGUACUUUAAGGCAUAUGCUUGAACUGUAUAUAAGGUAAUUUCAUGUGCCCCUUUACCGUACAAUGCUUGAAUUACCUGUAUAUAAGGUAAUUUUAUGUAUAUAAGUACAUAUUGAUCAUCCUUGUACAAUCAUACUGCUCCUCUCAGUGUGCAACGGCUGUUUAGCCUGCUAUAAAUU